rnacentral:rRNA from 1 species
UGCGUAGUGGCGGGUAAGUCAGGUGUGAAAUCUCGAGGCUCAACCUCGAAACUGCACUUGAUACUGCCUUGCUCGAGUACUGGAGAGGAGAUUGGAAUUUACGGUGUAGCAGUGAAAUGCGUAGAUAUCGUAAGGAAGACCAGUGGCGAAGGCGAAUCUCUGGACAGUUACUGACACUGAGGCACGAAGCCAGGGGAGCAAACA